ACGAACGCUGGCGGCGUGCCUAACACAUGCAAGUCGAGCGGGGAAUGUCGGAUAGCUUGCUAUUUGAUAUUUCUAGCGGCGGACGGGUGAGUAACGCGUGAGCAACCUGCCUUUAUCAGGGGGAUAACGCAUCGAAAGAUGUGCUAAUACCGCGUAAGACCACAGCCUCACAUGGGGCAGAGGUCAAAGGAGCAAUCCGGAUAAAGAUGGGCUCGCGUCCGAUUAGCUAGUUGGUGAGAUAACAGCCCACCAAGGCGACGAUCGGUAGCCGACCUGAGAGGGUGAUCGGCCACAUUGGAACUGAGAGACGGUCCAGACUCCUACGGGAGGCAGCAGUGGGGAAUAUUGGGCAAUGGGCGAAAGCCUGACCCAGCAACGCCGCGUGAGGGAAGAAGGGUUUCGGCUCGUAAACCUCUGUCCUAUGGGACGAAGGAAGUGACGGUACCAUAGGAGGAAGCCCCGGCUAACUACGUGCCAGCAGCCGCGGUAAUACGUAGGGGGCGAGCGUUGUCCGGAAUGAUUGGGCGUAAAGGGCGCGUAGGCGGCCUGCUAAGUCUGAAGUGAAAGUCCUGCUUUCAAGGUGGGAAGUGCUUUGGAUACUGGUGGGCUGGAGUGCAGGAGAGGAAAGCGGAAUUACCGGUGUAGCGGUGAAAUGCGUAGAGAUCGGUAGGAACACCAGUGGCGAAGGCGGCUUUCUGGACUGAAACUGACGCUGAGGCGCGAAAGCGUGGGGAGCAAACAGGAUUAGAUACCCUGGUAGUCCACGCGGUAAACGAUGAAUGCUAGGUGUAGGAGGUAUCGACCCCUUCUGUGCCGCAGUAAACACAAUAAGCAUUCCGCCUGGGGAGUAAGGCCGCAAGGUUGAAACUCAAAGGAAUUGACGGGGGCCCGCACAAGCAGCGGAGCAUGUGGUUUAAUUCGAAGCAACGCGAAGAACCUUACCAGGUCUUGACAUCCGUGUAAAGCCGCAGAGAUGCGGUGUGAGCUUGCUCAAUACGAGACAGGUGGUGCAUGGUUGUCGUCAGCUCGUGUCGUGAGAUGUUGGGUUAAGUCCCGCAACGAGCGCAACCCUUAUUGUUAGUUGCCAUCAUUAAGUUGGGCACUCUAGCGAGACUGCCGGUAAUAAACCGGAGGAAGGUGGGGAUGACGUCAAAUCAUCAUGCCCCUUAUGACCUGGGCUACACACGUGCUACAAUGGGUACAACAAAGAGACGCGAGACCGCAAGGUGGAGCCAAACUCAGAAAAGUACUCUCAGUUCAGAUUGUGGGCUGCAACCCGCCCACAUGAAGUUGGAGUUGCUAGUAAUCGCGGAUCAGCAUGCCGCGGUGAAUACGUUCCCGGGCCUUGUACACACCGCCCGUCACACCAUGGGAGUUGGGAGCGCCCGAAGCCAGUGAGGUAACCGAAAGGAGCCAGCUGUCGAAGGUGAGACCAAUGACUGGGGUG
rnacentral:rRNA from 1 species